GUGGGGAAUAUUGGGCAAUGGGCGGAAGCCUGACCCAGCGACGCCGCGUGGGGGAAGAAGUCUUUCGGGAUGUAAACCCUUGUUGUACGGGACGAAGGAAGUGACGGUACCAUGGGAGGAAGCCCCGGCUAACUACGUGCCAGCAGCCGCGGUAAGACGUAGGGGGCAAGCGUUGUCCGGAAUUACUGGGCGUAAAGGGUGCGUAGGCGGCAAUGCAAGUCUAAUGUGAAAUCCCCGUGCUUAACAUGGGGAUUGCAAUAGAAACUGUAUAGCUAGAGUGCAGGAGAGGUAAGUGGAAUUCCUAGUGUAGCGGUGAAAUGCAUAGAUAUUAGGAGGAACACCAGUGGCGAAGGCGACUUACUGGACUGUAACUGACGCUGAAGCACGAAAGCGUGGGGAGCGAACAGGAUUAGAAACCCUUGUAGUCC
rnacentral:rRNA from 1 species